AUGAAGCCAAUGAAAAGUUGCCCAGACUUCAUAAUUUUUCUGGCUCCGCCACUGAUUUUGGAAAUACAUGUCCAAAAAUAUGCUUUAAUGUUUAAAUUUAACAUUUGGCUUGAAAUAGGGUAUUUUUGGAAGUGUAUUUCUGAAUUCUUUCCAAAAUUUAUUUUAGGUGCAUUAAGAGAUGUAUCUCUGAAACACUUUGAUUUAGAAUGCCUUCGGAGAUACGUCUCUGAAGGAUAUUUUCGGGUUUUCAGGAAUUUUUUCCCCCUUAAAAGGUGUACAAGAAAAUUACCUAAAACUUAA